rnacentral:rRNA from 1 species
AGCAGCCGCGGUAAUUCCAGCUCCAAUAGCGUAUAUUAAAGUUGUUGCAGUUAAAAAGCUCGUAGUUGAAUUUCGGGAUCAAUAUAUCGGUCGUGCCUUGGUACGUACUGGUAUCAUUGGUUUCUCCUUUCUGACGAACCAUGAUGUCAUUAAUUUGGUGUUAUGGGAAGUUAGGACUGUUACUUUGAAAAAUUUAGAGUGUUUAAAGCAGGCUUUGGCUUGAAUACAUUAGCAUGGAAUAAUGAAAUAGGACGUUCGAACCUAUUUUGUUGGUUUCUAGGAUCAACGUAAUGAUUAAUAGGGAUAGUUGGGGGCAUUAGUAUUCAAUUGUCAGAGGUGAAAUUCUUGGAUUUAUUGAAGACUAACUACUGCGAAAGCAUUUGCCAAGGAUGUUUUCAUUAAUCAAGAACGAAAGUUAGGGGAUCGAAGACGAUCAGAUACCGUCGUAGU